rnacentral:rRNA from 1 species
UACGGAGAUGGCAACCGUUGUUCGGAAUCACUGGGCUUAAAGAGCACGUAGGCGGGAAUAUAAGUUGAAUGUGAAAUCCCAUGGCUUACCCAUGGAACUGCGUUCAAAACUGUGUUUCUUGAGUUUAGAAGGGGAAAGUGGAACUCCUAGUGGAGCGGUGAAAUGCGUUGAUAUUAGGAGGAACGCCGGUGGCGAAAGCGACUUUCUGGUCUGUAACUGACGCUGAGGUGCGAAAGCUAGGGGAGCAAACGGG